UGGAGCCACUGCCCCUUCCUACGCCA
rnacentral:piRNA from 1 species